rnacentral:lncRNA from 1 species
UGCACCACAGGUCCGCAGGUGCUGGGGGGCGGGGGGGGGCGCGGAGGCAUUUCCGGUCUGGCCCCAGGGAGAAAGAAAGAUGGCGGCUCCCUCGGCGACAGUCCGGAGGGCCCUGGGCUGGACUAGGGCAAACACUUCUCAUUCAUUAAAUCGCCGUAUGGAUUCAAUGGAAAAGAACUAAUUCACUGAGGGCCGAGGCCCACCCCCACCCCCUCUUUUAAUUCCUGUUCCUGUUUCCUGGCUCAUCCCUUUGACAUCGGGACAAUUACAGCUAUUCAUAUCCAGCCCCGAGGCCACCUGCCAGCCGGCCAUUCUCAUGCACAUGGGGCUAAACAUCAGGCACAAUGUAGGCCAAUCUGAGGCCUUUUAACAGGACCUCACUGAGAGCCAGACCCCCUCGGCCCCCACCCCGCCGAGUGGAGCGUAUUCAGGGGCUGCCUGGGGCCCUCUCCCUGGGAAUUCCUGGGAUCCCGGGGCCAUCCCUUUGGAGAGUUUGGAGCUGGGAGGGACAUCUAGCCCAGGGCCGCGGUUCCAGCGGCCGCUGUUUUCUAAGAGAAGGCGGAUUUCUGGAUUACCGGGUUUUCUGGUCCCCAAGGCUUCCGGGUAGGCGUGAACGAUCCGUCCCCUCUUCAGGAUGCCCCCACUUUCAUCCCGUACCCAAAGUGGCACCCGAUAAGGCGGAGGCAGCAUCUAGUCUGAGAGAAAGAAAGAAAGAAAGAAAGAAAGAAAGAAAGAAAGAAAGAAAGAAAGAAAGAAAGAAAAAGGAAGGAAGGAAGGAAGAAAGAAAGAAAGAAAGAAAGAAAGAAAGAAAGAAAGAAAGAAAGAAAGAAAGAAAGAAAGAAAGAAAGAAAGAAAGAAAGAAAGAAAGAAAGAAAGAAAGAAAGAAAGGAAGGAAGGAAGGAAGGAAGGAAGGAAGGAAGGAAGGAAGAAAAAGGAAGGAAGGAAGAAAAAGGAAGGAAGGAAGAAAAAGGAAGGAAGGGAGAAAGAAAAAAGAAAGAAGGAAAGAAAGAGAAAGAAAGAGAGAGAGAAAGAAGGAAAGAAAAAAUAGAGAAAGAAAGAGAGAGAAAAAGAAAGAAAGAAGGCAAGAAAGAAAGGAGUUUGUAACCUGGGGCCAUGAACUUGGGUUUCUAAAUAAAUUUAUAACAAUAUUUUAAUAUGAGUUUCCUUUGUCAUCCUAUAUACUUUAUUUUAUGUGUUUAAAAU